UACGUAGGUGGCAAGCGUUGUUCGGAUUCAUUGGGCGUAAAGGGUGCGUAGGUGGCGCUGUAAGUCGGGUGUGAAAUUUCGGAGCUUAACUCCGAAACUGCAUUCGAUACUGCGGUGCUUGAGGACUGGAGAGGAGACUGGAAUUCAUGGUGUAGCAGUGAAAUGCGUAGAGAUCAUGAGGAAGACCAGUGGCGAAGGCGGGUCUCUGGACAGUUCCUGACACUGAGGCACGAAGGCCAGGGGAGCAAACGGG
rnacentral:rRNA from 1 species